CCGGCUAGCUGGGCUGAAGUAGCUCAUUAAGAUUUGUAAUGCUUAACAAUUUAAUACUCGGUGUUAGAAAUCGAUUUGUUGUAUUUGAGGACUGCUUUACCCACUGAAUGUUGUUGGUCGAGGUAUUUAUACUUAGCGCUGACCCCAACAGGCUUAUACUGUUUGUAUUCUAACAAAAUUAUGUCGCUUCCUAUCUAAACCUUGAAAACUUUCAUUAAUAUCAUUUUGAUGUUAUUUGAAGUUUUUUUAACUUAGGCCUAUAUUUGUACAUAUAAUCGAAACUAAAACAUGCAUAA